rnacentral:tRNA from 1 species
UGGGGCUUAGCCAAGCGGUAAGGCAACGGACUUUGACUCCGUCAUUCCAAGGUUCGAAUCCUUGAGCCCCAGCCA